GCCUGGGUGGCUCAGUCGGUUGGGCGUCUGACUUCGGCUCAGGUCACGAUCUCGCGGUCCGUGAGUUCGAGCCCCGUGUCAGGCU
rnacentral:tRNA from 1 species